UCCGGUUUGGCACCGGCAGUCGCCCUAGAGUGCCCGGCUUUACCCGCUGGUAACUAGGGCCGAGGGUUGCGCUCGUUGCGGGACUUAACCCAACAUCUCACGGCACGAGCUGACGACAGCCAUGCACCACCUGCGCAGAAGUCCCUUGCGGGAGGUGCUCACUUUCGUGAGCAUUUCCUCUGCAUGUCAAACCCAGGUAAGGUUCUUCGCGUUGCCUCGAAUUAAACCACACGCUCCGCUGCUUGUGCGGGCCCCCGUCAAUUUCUUUGAGUUUUAAUCUUGCGACCGUACUCCUCAGGCGGGAUACUUAAUGCGUUAGCUGCGAUACCGAAAGGGUAAGACCUCCCGACAUCUAGUAUCCAUAGUUUACGGCGUGGACUAC
rnacentral:misc_RNA from 1 species